AGCUUUGCACAGUGGCAGUAUCGUAGCCAGUGAAGUCUAUCCGAGCCAAGAUUAUUGCUAAUUGAAAGAUUGCAAAUCCACAUUGAAAUAAUGCAUUAGCAA
rnacentral:snRNA from 1 species